GGGGGUGCCUGGGCGCACCCGGCGAGGGGAGACGGGCGAGGCGGCAGAGGGAGAGGCUGGGAGGUGUUAGAGAGGAGGCUGGCCUGGACGAUCUGGAAGGAAGUGAGCAACGGGGGGAGGACCGCAAGCUUUGUAUGCGGGACCCCGCCGGGCGGAGCAGCGGGGCAGCAAGUGGGUUCCCGCACAGGAGGAGGCCCUGGGAAGCUGCAGGCGAGUGGAGGGGCAGGAUUCCUUCUGCGCAAAGCGCAGGUCGGAGCAGGCAGCGAGGAGCCGGCGCGCUGUGGGCCGGAGCCCCGCUGCUCCUGGAACCAGACACGCAGGCUUCCCGGGAAGGGAGAGGAGAAGAAAGGGGGCAGUGUGGGCUCGGAAAAUGCAGCUUGUCGCUGAUUUGUGCCUGAUGCUCGCUGUCCGUCAGCAGCCUCCCUUACACUCUCCCCCCCCCCCUUUUUUUUUCCUUCUCCGUCUUCACUGAGCCUAGGGGAGCCAGCAAAGAUUAAAUGUGCUUUCUCAAAGGCAGCCACUUCACGCUGCCAUGUCGAACGGGCCAUUAUUAUUUUUAUUUUUGAUAGUAAAGGAAAAAGGAGAAGAGGUAGAUAGAGAGAGAGAGAGGAGCGAGGGCUGGUAGGAUGGUGCCGGACUAGCUGCUCUGAGCGACAGGAGAGGCAGCAGACGGACAGACGGACCGCAGGAGGCCUGCCCCGAAGAGCCCUCGGAGGCGUCGCAGGAGCCUCUUGCUCAGCUUCCAGGCCGAUGGGGACGCGGCCAGCCCUGCGCCAGGAGCCGCCUGAGAAGAUGGAGGGAACGCGUUUCCGAUUCCUGGACUGUUGGCCGAAAGCGCCCAGGACCGGGCGGGGCCCGCUGGCAGCCGCACCUCCCCGCCGGCCUGACAGCGCGGCGCUGGCCGCCCUGGGCCGGGGCUGCGGCCGGAGAGAGCCACGCGGAGGACCGGGGACGACUGCAGCAGCCUCGGGGCGGUUCCCAGCCCUUCAUUUAAAAAAGAAUUAACGGAACGAUUUCAAAGCCAUCAGCCUCCGCCUUCCUCCACUCCCACCAAAAUCGCCUCCCUUCUCUCUCUCCGGUCCAAGCGCGACCCGGAGCGGCAGCCUGGGCUCCGGGCUGGGCCGGCCCCGCCCUCCCGCCAGCGCGGCCUCCAGGGCAGCCCCGGCCCGAGCGCGCGGGGCGCCGUCCGCUCCGGUGGAGCCGCGAGGCUGCGGCCGCUCCGCUUCCAGCCGCUGGUCCUAUGGCCCUCAGGAAGGUUCAAGGACCACAGAGAGAGCCGCCCAUGGAUGCCCAGGCCACUCAGAAGUUGAAACAAAGUCGUCACCUGAGGACACCUCUCCUGCUCAGCAACACACUCUUAUAACACGUGGCAAUCCCUUCAAGAAACAGAGAGUCUUAAGAAUGGCAUCUAGAUUUUUUAAAAUUGUUUUUUAGAGAGAGAGAGAGACAGAGAGAGAGAGAGAGAGAGAG